CAGCAGCCGCGGUAAUACAGAGGGUGCGAGCGUUAAUCGGAUUUACUGGGCGUAAAGCGUGCGUAGGCGGCUUCUUAAGUCGGAUGUGAAAUCCCUGAGCUUAACUUAGGAAUUGCAUUCGAUACUGGGAAGCUAGAGUAUGGGAGAGGAUGGUAGAAUUCCAGGUGUAGCGGUGAAAUGCGUAGAGAUCUGGAGGAAUACCGAUGGCGAAGGCAGCCAUCUGGCCUAAUACUGACGCUGAGGUACGAAAGCAUGGGGAGCAAACAGGAUUAGAGACCCGAGUAGUCCCUGUCUCUUAUAC
rnacentral:rRNA from 1 species